rnacentral:lncRNA from 1 species
GGGGUUGAACUUCAUCCUCGAUCUUGAAGCUCUGCAUCUUUUGCCCAUCAUGAAGGACAGGAACACCAAAAUCCGACUAGUCUUUUUUCCUUCCUUUGUUGGAACCAGAAGCCCGUGGUUUCUGCUUCCCUGAUUUUCUUCUGGAAAUGACCAGGUUUGGCUGGGUAGAAUGAGCAGGCAUGUGAUGCCCAGGAACCAAAGCAGGGAACCCAACAGCAGGGAUUCUGCAAAUUCAUAUUGCAUCUAUUAAUUAUAGGCACUUGANGUUUCUAUAAUUCUCUGUAUGCCCUUGCCUUUCUACAAUAUCACCAGAUAGCCAUUGCCUUUUUUCUGCAUUGGCGAAAACACCCCUCCCGAUCCUCAAAACUCUCUCUCGAUUGUUCUACUCUAAUUAUUUACUUGUUCAAUAUUUUAUUUUAUGUUACAUUUUGUAUUGAACCAGUUUUAUUUUGUUCAUCUCAUUUGGCAAGUAUUAACAAACUAUGGAAGUAUUUGAAGAAUAUAUACCUUCUAGAGUAUUAUUUAUUACCACGUCAAACUUGAUUUUUCAUUUCCUUUCUUUUAAAAUCCUAUUACGACUACUAAAAACAAGAUAAUCACCAUUUCUGCUGCAAAAAAGAAAAAAUAAUACUGAUUCUAGCAUCUAAUAAAAGAGCCUAGAGGUUUGAGUAAAGUCCACAUAAGAAUCCACAAAGGAAUAUGCCAUCAGGAUAGUUUAGUAAAUUCAGUCUCGCAAAGUAUUCACCUAGAAUAUGUACCCUCACCUAACUUGUCGAUGGGGAGUGGGGACAAUGACAAAACUUUCUCAGGGGCUUUUUCUUAUUUAACAACAAACUUUGAUCAUUUUUCUCUGUCAUCAGAAGCCAGUUUCUAUAUUCAUUUCCAACAGCGCCCCCAGUUUAAUAUCUUAACCAUUGCAAAAGGCAUUUCCUUCUUUCUCCAAUGCUGGCCCAUGUAUACAUUUGCAGAAAGUUUCUAUAUUCAUUUCCAACAGCACCCCCAGUUUAAUAUCUUAACCAUUGCAAAAGGCAUUUCCUUCUUUCUACAAUGCUGGCCCAUGUAUACAUAUGCAGAAAAUGCUACCCCAAGUACACUCCCUUAUUUGGCCUUUAUCUGGUCAAUCAUACUUUCUGUAUGGCUCAACCCCCCUACCCCACCUUUAAAGAAGGGAAAAAUAAUAGAAACAGAUCACCGUCUACAAUCUUAUAGACAACGUGCUUCGAUUCCAUAAUCAAAGUUUGAACAUAUUUCAAGAUGCUUCACAUGAUUUCAUAGCACUGGAAGUUUAGGAAGGAGGAUGGUAUUGUGACCUAGUAGUCCCGCUCCCAACUACCGCCAUGGGGCAAAAAGGACAUGGAGAAAAGGAAAAGGAAAAGCAAAAUAAAGACAACCAAAUUUCUCAGCUGGAACUGUUAAAAUUUGCAUACAUCUAAUAUAUAGCUCAUAAGUCAUUAACUAAUAACAGUGAAAUACUAGUCCUUCAGAUGUCAAAGCAAGACACAUACAGAGUGUCUCUGAUACAAACUAAAGAACUCAAAAGGAACCAUGAUCCACCUAAAAGAAAGGAUUUGAUCACAACGAGUCACAUCACAAUCCCCAAAGAAUGGGGGUUGAACUUCAUCCUCGAUCUUGAAGCUCUGCAUCUUUUGCCCAUCAUGAAGGACAGGAACACCAAAAUCCGACUAGUCUUUUUUCCUUCCUUUGUUGGAACCAGAAGCCCGUGGUUUCUGCUUCCCUGAUUUUCUUCUGGAAAUGACCAGGUUUGGCUGGGUAGAAUGAGCAGGCAUGUGAUGCCCAGGAACCAAAGCAGGGAACCCAACAGCAGGGAUUCUGCAAAUUCAUAUUGCAUCUAUUAAU